rnacentral:rRNA from 1 species
AACGAACGCUGGCGGCGUGCUUAACACAUGCAAGUCGAACGAGAAAGUCCUUCGGGAUGAGUAGAGUGGCGCACGGGUGAGUAAUGCAUAGGAACGUACCGAUAAGUGGGGAAUAACUACGGGAAACUGUAGCUAAUACCGCAUGUGAUAUUAAUUAAAGGUGGCCUCUACUUGUAAGCUACCGCUUAUCGAUCGGCCUAUGUCCCAUUAGCUAGUUGGCGGGGUAAUGGCCCACCAAGGCAACGAUGGGUAGCUGGUCUGAGAGGAUGAUCAGCCACACUGGGACUGAGACACGGCCCAGACUCCUACGGGAGGCAGCAGUGGGGAAUAUUGCACAAUGGGCGCAAGCCUGAUGCAGCAACGCCGCGUGAGUGAAGAAGGCCCUCGGGUCGUAAAGCUCUUUCGACAGAGAAGAAGGGUGGUAUGGUGAACAAUCAUGCUGCUUGACGGUACCUGUAUAAGAAGCACUGGCUAACUCCGUGCCAGCAGCCGCAGUAA